GAUGAACGCUAGCGGCAGGCCUAAUACAUGCAAGUCGAGGGGUAGAAGAGGCUUGCUUCUUUGAGACCGGCGCACGGGUGCGUAACGCGUAUGCAACCUACCUUCAUCUGGGGGAUAGCCCGGAGAAAUCCGGAUUAAUACCGCAUAAAAUCACAGGAUGGCAUUAUCCAAUGAUCAACAAUUUAUGGGAUGGAGAUGGGCAUGCGUGUCAUUAGCUAGUUGGCGGGGUAACGGCCCACCAAGGCGACGGUGACUAGGGGAGCUGAGAGGAUGGCCCCCCACACUGGUACUGAGACACGGACCAGACUCCUACGGGAGGCAGCAGUAAGGAAUAUUGGUCAAUGGAGGCAACUCUGAACCAGCCAUGCCGCGUGCAGGAAGACUGCCCUAUGGGUUGUAAACUGCUUUUAUUCGGGAAUAAACCUUAUUACGUGUAAUAAGCUGAAUGUACCGAAGGAAUAAGGAUCGGCUAACUCCGUGCCAGCCGCCGCGGUAA
rnacentral:rRNA from 1 species